GUUGGGCGUGGUGGCUCACGCCUGUAAUCCUAGCACUUUGGGAGGCUGAGGCAGGUGGAUCACCUGAGGUCGGGAGUUCAAGACCAGCCUGACCAACAUGGAGAAACCCUGUCUCUA
ensembl:misc_RNA Metazoa_SRP Metazoan signal recognition particle RNA